rnacentral:rRNA from 1 species
CCUACGGGAGGCAGCAGUGAGGAAUAUUGGUCAAUGGGCGCGAGCCUGAACCAGCCAAGUCGCGUGAGGGAAGACGGUCCUACGGGUUGUAAACCUCUUUUGGCGGGGAGCAACGGCUGCCACGCGUGGCCGCACUGAGAGUACCCGGAGAAUAAGCAUCGGCUAACUCCGUGCCAGCAGCCGCGGUAAUACGGAGGAUGCGAGCGUUAUCCGGAUUUAUUGGGUUUAAAGGGUGCGUAGGCGGAGCGUUAAGUCAGUGGUCACAUGGAGGGGCUCAACCCGGUCCCGCCGUUGAAACUGGCGCUCUUGAGUGGAAGAGAAGUAUGCGGAAUGCGUGGUGUAGCGGUGAAAUGCAUAGAUAUCACGCAGAACCCCGAUUGCGAAGGCAGCAUGCCGGCUUCCGACUGACGCUGAGGCACGAAAGCGUGGGGAUCGAACAGGAUUAGAUACCCUAGUAGUC